UACGUAGGGUGCAAGCGUUGUCCGGAAUUAUUGGGCGUAAAGAGCUCGUAGGCGGUCUGUCGCGUCGGCUGUGAAAUCCCGAGGCUCAACCUCGGGUCUGCAGUCGAUACGGGCAAACUAGAGUAUUGCAGGGGAGACUGGAAUUCCUGGUGUAGCGGUGAAAUGCGCAGAUAUCAGGAGGAACACCGGUGGCGAAGGCGGGACUCUGGGCCGAUACUGACGCUGAGGAGCGAAAGUGUGGGGAGCGAACAGG
rnacentral:rRNA from 1 species